rnacentral:rRNA from 1 species
UACGUAGGGGGCGAACGUUAUCCGGAAUGAUUGGGCGUAAAGGGUACGUAGGCGGACCUGUAAGUCAGGUGUGAAAGGCAUGGGCUCAACCCAUGUAAGCACUUGAAACUGCGGGCCUUGAGGGAAGGAGAGGUAAGUGGAAUUCCUAGUGUAGCGGUGAAAUGCGUAGAUAUUAGGAGGAAUACCGGUGGCGAAGGCGACUUACUGGACUUUUACUGACGCUGAGGUACGAAAGCGUGGGGAGCAAACAGG